UGUCCUUAGAGAAAGUCUUAAUGAAUUAAUUUUAUUUAUCUGUGUAGCAGAUUGCCAGUGGUUGGAUUUCAUCCCUUCAGAGCUCCUGAGAUCCUGGAGGGUCACCUGAAGAACAUAUCCCACAUUUUGUAUAUAAAAAGUCUCAGCCUUAUCAUUACUUCAGCAGCAGCUGUGAUGUCAGGAGGUUGAAGCUCCUGGGAAGAGAAGCAGCUUUUGCACUGUGGGGGCUGUUUGUAUGCAGAUCUUAUCACUCAUCUUCCCAGCACUAAACACAUUUUUCUCAUCCUUAGAGAAGUUUCUCCUUGUCUGCAGCAGCGCUGAUACAAGAGUGGCAGCAGGUUAAGCAUCAACAUCCCGUUUAAGUUACAAAGCGAGCACAGCUCGUUUCUGAUGACAUCCCCUGGAGCCAAGACCAGGAGAAGAGGGAUUUCUCUCACUCAGCUCGGUGAUACAUCCAUGGAGCAUCUGCUGCUGAAACACCUUUCACAAAGCCUCCAGCGAGACAGCCAGAGGACUGGACAGAGGCCCUGGUUUGUGUCCCUGGAUGUGAGAAUGUCACCUGUGGGAGCUCUGCACACCCCGAACCCUCCCUGUGCUCGAGCAGCGUGUUCCCCUCUGUGGCCCAGCUCUGCAGCAGCAGAUCUGUGCUCUGUCUGUGCUGCUAAUGAAUAGCAGCCUCCCUGAAACCAAGUGUGACAGCCCAGCUGUAAUUGCGUUUCAGAAAGGGGAAAGCACGUGUGUGCCCAAGCCACCCAUAAUUACUGCUCUGAAAUGCCUGGGGAGAGAGAUGCAUUGUGUGCCGUAACUACAGCCAGAAAAAGGGAAUCCUGAGGUGGAGAGUGAGCUGCCACAACCUGCAAGAGGCAGCUCUGUGUCAUUUGCUGUGGGCACAGCAGAUCCAGGGCUCUCUCACCCUUAAGUGACAAAUGUCCAGCCCAGCCAGGUGGGUCCUGCCCGACUGGGGGCUUGGCCCAGCCUUCCAGGGGUUUAUCCCUAAUCCACUGGGCUGGAUGUUAGCCAGGACUUUGUCUGAGAGGUUUCAGAGGCUCUGUUCCGAGCUGUAGCCAAGCACAUUCCUACUUGGAAAUAAUGGCACGCUGCAAGUCAGGAUAUUCUUCCUGCUUAUGGAGCGAUCCAGGAACGGCAGGCACGGAUUAUAUGACUUGAAUGCUGUACUAUUUAUGAUGUGUGUUCAGCCACCUAAAUCACAUUGGCAGUGUUCGAGCUUUGCCUGGAUAAUUGAUUCAAAUGUAAAUUGAAUG